rnacentral:rRNA from 1 species
CCUACGGGUGGCAGCAGUGGGGGAUAUUGCACAAUGGGGGAAACCCUGAUGCAGCGACGCCGCGUGAGUGAAGAAGUAUUUCGGGAUGUAAAGCACUAUCAGCAGGGAAGAAAAUGACAGUACCUGACCAAGAAGCCCCGGCUAACUACGUGCCAGCAGCCGCGGGAAUACGUAGGGGGCAAGCGUUAGCCGGAUUUACUGGGUGAAAAGGGAGCGUAGACGGUUAUGUAAGUCUGGAGUGAAAGCCCGGGGCCCAACCCCGGGACUGCUUUGGAAACUGUGUAACUGGAGUACAGGAGGGGCAGGUGGAAUUCCUGGUGUAGCGGUGAAAUGCGUAGAGAUCAGGAGGAACACCGGCGGCGAAGGCGGCCUGCUGGACUGAAACUGACGUUGAGGCGCGAAAGCGUGGGGAGCAAACAGGAUUAGAUACCCGAGUAGUC